GGCGACGUGGCCGAGUGGCUUAGGCAGGGGCCUGCAAAGCCCCGUACCCGGGUUCGAUUCCCGGCGUCGCCU
rnacentral:tRNA from 1 species